UUGAAGUAAAUUUUACUCAAUGGAGCAUGUAAAAAUUUCAUACACCCAGCGAAGCGGGUGAGGGCGAUCUAGUUGAAUAUAAGUCUUCCAUAAAAAUGCGAAAUACAAUAUUGUCAGCGAAAACAUAUGUAUGUAUGUAUAUUGAAGUCAUGAACUAAAAAGGCUAUUUCUCGUUUACCUAGUACAGAAAAUUCUGAAGUACAAUUUCGCGCUGCAUUCAGGAUCCAUAAAAAACGUUAUUUUAAAAACUCAUCACUAAACAAAACUAUAUAAUUUGGAUUACUCAGUAUUCGAUUUAAUCCAAUAUUCUACUUUCAAUUGAAUGACUGACUGAAUUCUAGUUCUUUUGUUUUAAGAAAUCACCAUUUAUGUUCAAAUUACUACUUGAUGUUAUACUUAAUUCACGGUAUUAAUGGUAUUUUAAGAGGAAUUUUAUUCCCAGCAUUUUAUUUUCAAUUCCAAUUUUAAGGAUUUUAAUGUAACUUUCUUUUGUGUUGAAUUAUUUAUUAUUAUUUUCUUAGAUUUGUUUUAAAUGAUUGGCCUUUGAAUUCUAAAU